AUCACCUACGGAUCUUGUUAAAAUGUAGAUUCUGAUUCAGUGAGUCCAGGGCGGGCCUGAGAUUCUGAAUUUCUAGCAAGCUGUCAAGUGAUGCUAA
rnacentral:pre_miRNA from 1 species